UACGGGGGGGGGGGCAAGCGUUUGUUCGGAAUUACUGGGCGUAAAAGGGCUCGUAGGCGGCCAACUAAGUCGGAUGUGAAAUCCCCAGGCUCAACCUGGGAACUGCAUCCGAUACUGGAUGGCUUGAAUCCGGGAGAGGGAUGCAGAAUUCCAGGUGUAGCGGUGAAAUGCGUAGAUAUCUGGAAGAACACCAAUGGCGAAGGCAAUGUUCUGGCUCGUUUCUGACGCUCAGGUGCGAAAAGCCAGGGGGAGCAGAACGGGG
rnacentral:rRNA from 1 species